rfam:Brassica napus, WGS project CCCW01000000 data, contig: 11139
AUCAGAUCGAUGAUGUUAUUGAAAAACUGCGUUAUCUAUCUUAAGAUCUCCGUAAUAGGAGUUGCAGAUACUAAACAGAAUCGCUGAGAUCUGAU